rnacentral:rRNA from 1 species
GGCGAACGGGUGAGUAAUAUAUCGGAACGUGCCCAGUAAUGGGGAAUAACUAAUUGAAAGAUUAGCUAAUACCGCAUACGACCUACGGGUGAAAGCAGGGGAUCUUAGGACCUUGCGUUAUUGGAGCGGCCGAUAUCUGAUUAGCUAGUUGGUAGGGUAAAAGCCUACCAAGGCGACGAUCAGUAGCUGGUCUGAGAGGACGAUCAGCCACACUGGAACUGAGACACGGUCCAGACUCCUACGGGAGGCAGCAGUGGGGAAUUUUGGACAAUGGGGGAAACCCUGAUCCAGCCAUCCCGCGUGAGUGAAGAAGGCCUUCGGGUUGUAAAGCUCUUUCGGAAGUGAAGAAAACUUAUUUCGUAAUAUGUUAUAAGAAUGACGGUAACUUUAGAAGAAGCACCGGCUAACUACGUGCCAGCAGCCGCGGUAAUACGUAGGGUGCGAGCGUUAAUCGGAAUUACUGGGCGUAAAGCGUGC